UGCGUAGGCGGUCUUUCAAGCCAGAAGUGAAAGGCUACGGCUCAGCCGUAGUAAGCUUUUGGAACUGUAGGACUUGAGUGCAGGAGAGGAGAGUAGAAUUCCUAGUGUAGCGGUGAAAUGCGUAGAUAUUAGGAGGAAUACCAGUAGCGAAGGCGGCUCUCUGGACUGUAACUGACGCUGAGGCACGAAAGCGUGGGGAGCGAACA
rnacentral:rRNA from 1 species